GAUGAACGCUGGCGGCGUGCCUAAUACAUGCAAGUCGGACGGAUGUAGCAAUACAUUAGUGGCGAACGGGUGAGUAACACGUAGGUGACCUGCCCUAAAGAGGGGAAUACCACUUCGAAAGGAGUGACAAACCGCAUAAACUUAUAGAGAUCAGAAGGCUAUAAGGAAAAGAGCGAUCUACUUUAGGAGGGGCCUGCGGCCCAUCAGCUAGUUGGUAGAGGUAACGGCCUACCAAGGCGAAGACGGGUAGGGGACCUGAGAGGGUGAUCCCCCACAAUGGAACUGAAACACGGUCCAUACACCUGCGGGUGGCAGCAGUAGGGAAUAUUGCUUAAUGGGCGAAAGCCUGAAGCAGCAACGCCGCGUGGACGAAGAAGGCCUUCGGGUUGUAAAGUUCUUUUAUAUGGGAUGAGGAAGGACAGUACCAUAUGAAUAAGUCUCGGCUAACUACGUG
rnacentral:rRNA from 1 species